UCCUUUGGCAACUGCACCCCCUCUUCCUUCUCCUUUUUUUUCAAUCUAAUAUGUGGGACAUACCAAGUGAUGAGAUCCUUUCUGGCAUCCUAAGAAAAUGCCAACUAUAGAACAACAGAUGUAGUCUCCUUAUUAAGUCUGAAGACCAAACUUCUUAGUGCAAAGCAGUCAAGUCUUUUCUCAACAUGACCCCAAUCAAGCUUUUGAACUUAACAUCAAAAUAUAACUUCAGAAGAACGUUUGGAAUAGAGCUCAGUUCAAACUCUUCCUAUUGCAAACGAGGAAAUGGCUAUAGAAGCAGAGUGCCCAAAGAAUGCGAAUGCAACUGGCUUCAUCUUGAAAGCGACACUCUGAAGAAAUUACCCAUAAUUUCUCCCUCUUGGACAUGCAGAAUUAUCCUGUUCUUGUAUUUUUCUGGCCAGCUUCUCCAACUUUCCCUUUCUUGUUUGCAACUAAUUAAACUUUAUGGAUAAGAA
ensembl:lncRNA MAGI2-AS2 MAGI2 antisense RNA 2